rnacentral:piRNA from 1 species
GAGGUGCUGGGCGGACUUCAUAACCACACC